rnacentral:lncRNA from 1 species
CAUCUUAUAAAAGAAGUAUGCACCACACUGUGAUAUUUCACGUCACAUUUUGAUGAUUAUAUUCCAAGGGCAAUACACAUACUGCUGCAUAAACAAAGGGGCAAAUUUCAAGGAACAAUUUUUAGUUUCACAACAAACAUUUUCUUGACCAUACAAAAAAUAAGGGGAAAUUAUUGAAAGCCAAAAUGGUACUGGUAGAAGAGAGGAAACAAAGAGAUGUAAGCAGGGCAACUCUCUUUUGUUAACAUCUCUAACAUUAUUACAAGCGCUUUUCCAAAAGGCCAAUCCCCGCCCCCCACCAACCACUAAUCGUACCUAAAUCAUCAUCAUUCCUAAUGAUAACCCUUAUAGACUCUCUACUUUUCCCUCCCAGACAACUUUUAUUCCUUUCCUUUUUCCAAAUUCUCACCCCUGAAAUCCUGAAAAACCAAAGAAGAAAAAUCUCAGCAAUAUUUUGCUUUUUAUCA